rnacentral:rRNA from 1 species
GACGAACGCUGGCGGCGUGCCUAACACAUGCAAGUCAACUUGACUGAAGGAGCAAUCUGACAGUAGAGUGGCGCAAGGGUGCGUAACGCGUAAGUAACUUGCCCAAGGUAAGGAAUAACGUCGAGAAAUCGGCGCUAAUACCUCAUAAUGCAGCGGAUCCGCAUGGAUAUGUUGUUAAAGGUUUACCGCCUUGGGAUAGGCUUGCGUCUGAUUAGCUAGUUGGUGUGGUAACGGCACACCAAGGCUACGAUCAGUAACUGGUCUGAGAGGAUGAUCAGUCACACUGGAACUGAGACACGGUCCAGACUCCUACGGGAGGCAGCAGUGAGGAAU